UACGUAGGGGGCAAGCGUUGUCCGGAAUUAUUGGGCGUAAAGAGCGCGUAGGCGGUCCGAUAAGUCGGCUGUGAAAGUCAGGGGCUCAACCCUUGGAAGCCGGCCGAUACUGCCGUGCUUGAGGACUGGAGAGGAGACUGGAAUUUACGGUGUAGCGGUGAAAUGCGUAGAUAUCGUAAGGAAGACCAGUGGCGAAGGCGGGUCUCUGGACAGUUCCUGACGCUGAGGCACGAAGGUCAGGGGAGCAAACGGG
rnacentral:rRNA from 1 species